CAAUCACAGGUGGAAGUUGGCUUUGAAAGCUAGUUUAGAGCUCACUCUUUCAUGUAUCUAAUAUUGUUUUUUCUGCAUUAACUGCUGAUUAGAGUGUGGUGACAUAGCAAUAAGAUCUCUAAAGAUAUGAGCUGCCCUUUCAUAAGAAUGAUAUGCAAGUUGACGUAGAAGUUAUGAUCUUCUAAGAACCAGGUGGAGUCUUCUGGGAGCAUAUACCUCUACACCUCUACAUCAGGAUUGAUUUGUCUCCAUGUAAAAAGGAAAAUAUAAUAUAGAGACACCAGAGACAUAUGCAAAGAGAAGUAACCACUAGAAAUGGAAGCAAGAAGACAGGUGUCUGAAAGGCAAGGAGAGAAACUUAAUAGAUAAUUAAAUUUAAAGAACACAGACCUCCAGCUUCAAAAACUGUCAGAAAAAUAACUUCUGUAACUUUAACUCCUGUCAUGUGAUGUUUAAUUAAAACAUCCUUA